rfam:Ovis aries breed Texel chromosome 13, whole genome shotgun sequence.
UCCUGGGUGGCUCAGUGGUAAAGAAUCUGCCUACCAAGGCAGGAGGCACAGGUUUGAUCCCUGGUCCAGGAA